rnacentral:rRNA from 1 species
GAUGAACGCUGGCGGUAUGCUUAACACAUGCAAGUCGAACGGUGUCUUCGGACACAGUGGCGGACGGGUGAGUAACGCGUGAGAAUCUGCCUUCAGGUCUGGGACAACCACUGGAAACGGUGGCUAAUACCGGAUGUGCCUUUCGGGGUGAAAGAUUAAUUGCCUGAAGAUGAGCUCGCGUCUGAUUAGCUAGUUGGUAGUGUAAUGGACAACCAAGGCGACGAUCAGUAGCUGGUCUGAGAGGACGAUCAGCCACACUGGGACUGAGACACGGCCCAGACUCCUACGGGAGGCAGCAGUGGGGAAUUUUCCGCAAUGGGCGAAAGCCUGACGGAGCAAUACCGCGUGAGGGAGGAAGGCUCUUGGGUCGUAAACCUCUUUUCUCAGGGAAGAACACAAUGACGGUACCUGAGGAAUAAGCAUCGGCUAACUCCGUG